CUAUGCAAGACAGAGAAGUUUCCACAGCUAUUAAGGAUGGAUGACUUUUCCUUUAGGAUGGCGUUAUCGGCAGCAGCAGGACCCAGACCUCUGCUCCAGGUCUGCAUAUAAGACACAGCUGUAAUUAUGAACAAACACAUUGCGAGAGCUUUUCUAUAAUACCGUUUUGGCCACCAAAUCCAGGUAUGGUCUGAUUCCUAUCAAAUUCCACAUUGUCAUAGGCCUUGCUGUCAUUGGGUCAUCUGUGUCCUUUGGAAC